GUGCCCGCUUCGGUAGCACAUAUACUAACAUUGGAACGAUACAGAGAAGAUUAGCUUGGACCCUGCGCAAGGAUGACACGCAAAUUCGUGAAGCAUUCCAUAUUUUU
ensembl:snRNA Gm26435 predicted gene, 26435